rnacentral:rRNA from 1 species
GACGAACGCUGGCGGCGUGCUUAACACAUGCAAGUCGAGCGGUAAGGCCCUUUCGGGGGUACGACGAGCGGCGAACGGGUGAGUAACACGUGGGUGACCUGCCCUCAGCUCUGGGAUAAGCCUGGGAAACUGGGUCUAAUACUGGAUAUGACUCCACGGUGCAUGUCGUGGGGUGGAAAGCCUUGUGCGGCUGAGGAUGGGCCCGCGGCCUAUCAGCUUGUUGGUGGGGUGAGGCCUACCAAGGCGACGACGGGUAGCCGGCCUGAGAGGGCGACCGGCCACAC